GACGAACGCUGGCGGCGUGCUUAACACAUGCAAGUCGUACGGUAAGGCCCUUUCGGGGGUACACGAGUGGCGAACGGGUGAGUAACACGUGAGUAACCUGCCCACAACUUUGGGAUAACGCUAGGAAACUGGUGCUAAUACUGGAUAUGUGCUCCUGCUGCAUGGUGGGGGUUGGAAAGCUCCGGCGGUUGUGGAUGGACUCGCGGCCUAUCAGCUUGUUGGUGGGGUAGUGGCCUACCAAGGCGGCGACGGGUAGCCGGCCUGAGAGGAUGACCGGCCACAUUGGGACUGAGAUACGGCCCAGACUCCUACGGGAGGCAGCAGUGGGGAAUAUUGCACAAUGGGCGCAAGCCUGAUGCAGCAACGCCGCGUGCGGGAUGACGGCCUUCGGGUUGUAAACCGCUUUCAGCAGGGACGAAGCUUUUUGUGACGGUACCUGCAGAAGAAGCACCGGCUAACUACGUG
rnacentral:rRNA from 1 species